rnacentral:rRNA from 1 species
UAUGCCUAAAAAGCAUUAUAUAGCAAGGGCCGGGCAAGACCGGUGCCAGCCGCCGCGGUAACACCGGCGGCUCGAGUGGUGACCGCUAUUAUUGGGUUUAAAGGGUCUGUAGCCGGCCGGAUAAGUCUCUUGGGAAAUCUGGCCGCUUAACGGUCAGGCUUUCAGGAGAUACUGUCUGGCUCGAGGCCGGGAGAGGUGAGAGGUACUUCAGGGGUAGGGGUGAAAUCUUGUAAUCCUUGAAGGACCACCAGUGGCGAAGGCGUCUCACCAAAACGGACCUGACGGCAAGGGACGAAAGCUAGGGGCACGAACCGGAUUAGAUACCCGGGUAGUCCUAGCCGUAAACGAUACUCGCUAGGUGUCGGCCGCGGUGCGACCGUGGUCGGUGCCGUAGGGAAACCGUGAAGCGAGCCACCUGGGAAGUACGGCCGCAAGGCUGAAACUUAAAGGAAUUGGCGGGGGAGCACCACAACGGGUGGAGCUUGCGGUUUAAUUGGAUUCAACGCCGGAAAGCUUACCGGGAUCGACAGCAAUAUGAAGGCCAGGUUGAAGACUUUGCUGGAUUAGCUGAGAGGUGGUGCAUGGCCGUCGUCAGUUCGUACUGUGAAGCAUCCUGUUAAGUCAGGCAACGAGCGAGACCCACGCCCACAGUUGCCAGCGUUCCCUCCGGGGAGAUGGGUACACUGUGGGGACCGCCGCUGCUAAAGCGGAGGAAGGAAUGGGCAACGGUAGGUCAGUAUGCCCCGAAUGUCCCGGGCUACACGCGAGCUACAAUGGUUGGUACAAUGGGCAUCGACCCCGAAAGGGGAAGGCUAUCUCCUAAACCAUCCUAAGUUCGGAUUGAGGGCUAAACUCGCCCUCAUGAAGCUGAAUCCGUAUUCCGGCAAGGCCGUAGUC